rnacentral:rRNA from 1 species
CGGGAGGCAGCAGUGAGGAAUAUUGGUCAAUGGACGCAAGUCUGAACCAGCCAUGCCGCGUGCAGGAUGACGGUCCUAUGGAUUGUAAACUGCUUUUGUACGAGAAGAAACAUUCCGACGUGUCGGAACUUGACGGUAUCGUAAGAAUAAGGAUCGGCUAACUCCGUGCCAGCAGCCGCGGUA